rnacentral:lncRNA from 1 species
UUAUAUAUUUUUUAAAAUUUUUAGUAUUGAAAAAAAAAAUUAUAAGAUUAAUGUGAAAAUAUUUGCCCUUAGAUACGAAAGGAUAAAAAUUUAGUAGGGAUAGUUUUUAAGGUGAAACGAUUAUAUCCAUAUCUGUCGUCCAUCGUAUAAAUAAGCACGAAUCUCAAAGUAUAUAAAUAGUGGAUGUGACCUACUUGAGUUAUGUACUACUUUUUUUGUAUAAUUUUAAUUUUUCUUUCAAAAUUUAUGCUUAUUUUUUAGGUGUACA